rnacentral:rRNA from 1 species
GUGGGGAAUAUUGGACAAUGGGCGAAAGCCUGAUCCAGCCAUGCCGCGUGUGUGAAGAAGGUCUUCGGAUUGUAAAGCACUUUAAGUUGGGAGGAAGGGUAGUAACCUAAUACGUUGCUACUUUGACGUUACCGACAGAAUAAGCACCGGCUAACUUCGUGCCAGCAGCCGCGGUAAUACGAAGGGUGCAAGCGUUAAUCGGAAUUACUGGUCGUAAAGCGCGCGUAGGUGGUUCAGUAAGUUGGAAGUGAAAUCCCCGGGCUCAACCUGGGAACUGCUUUCAAAACUGCUGAGCUAGAGUACGGUAGAGGGUGGUGGAAUUUCCUGUGUAGCGGUGAAAUGCGUAGAUAUAGGAAGGAACACCAGUGGCGAAGGCGACCACCUGGACUGAUACUGACACUGAGGUGCGAAAGCGUGGGGAGCAAACAGGAUUAGAAACCCUGGUAGUCC